GCCUCCGUAGCUCAGCGGACAGAGCAUUGGAUUACGGAUCCAGGGGUCGCGCGUUCGAAUCGCGCCGGGGGCA
rnacentral:tRNA from 1 species